UACGUAGGGACCAAGCGUUGUUCGGAUUUACUGGGCGUAAAGGGCGCGUAGGCGGCAUGACAAGUCACUUGUGAAAUCUCCGGGCUUAACUCGGAACGGUCAAGUGAUACUAUCGCGCUAGAGUGCGGAAGGGGCAAUCAGAAUUCUUGGUGUAGCGGUGAAAUGCGUAGAUAUCAAGAGGAAUACCUGAGGUGAAGACGGGUUGCUAGGCCGACACUGACGCUGAAGCGCGAAAGCCAGGGGAGCAAACGGG
rnacentral:rRNA from 1 species